rnacentral:rRNA from 1 species
AGAGUUUGAUCAUGGCUCAGGAUGAACGCUGGCGGCGUGCUUAACACAUGCAAGUCGAACGAAGCAACUAUCUUGCUUGCAAGAGAGUUGACUUAGUGGCGGACGGGUGAGUAACGCGUGGGUAACCUGCCUCAUACAGGGGGAUAACAGUUGGAAACGACUGCUAAGACCGCAUAACCCGCUAGUGUCGCAUGACACGGACGGAAAAUAUUUAUAGGUAUGAGAUGGGCCCGCGUCUGAUUAGCUAGUUGGUAAGGUAACGGCUUACCAAGGCGACGAUCAGUAGCCGACUUGAGAGAGUGAUCGGCCACAUUGGGACUGAGACACGGCCCAAACUCCUACGGGAGGCAGCAGUGGGGAAUAUUGGACAAUGGGGGAAACCCUGAUCCAGCGACGCCCGCGUGAGUGAAGAAGUAUUUCGGUAUGUAAAGCUCUAUCAGCAGGGAAGAUAAUGACAGUACCUGACUAAGAAGCCCCGGCUAACUACGUGCCAGCAGCAGC